rnacentral:rRNA from 1 species
AGGGAAUCUUCGGCAAUGGACGAAAGUCUGACCGAGCAACGCCGCGUGAGUGAAGAAGGUUUUCGGAUCGUAAAACUCUGUUGUUAGAGAAGAACAAGGAUGAGAGUAAAACGUUCAUCCCUUGACGGUAUCUAACCAGAAAGCCACGGCUAACUACGUGCCAGCAGCCGCGGUAAUACGUAGGUGGCAAGCGUUGUCCGGAUUUAUUGGGCGUAAAGCGAGCGCAGGCGGUUUCUUAAGUCUGAUGUGAAAGCCCCCGGCUCAACCGGGGAGGGUCAUUGGAAACUGGGAGACUUGAGUGCAGAAGAGGAGAGUGGAAUUCCAUGUGUAGCGGUGAAAUGCGUAGAUAUAUGGAGGAACACCAGUGGCGAAGGCGGCUCUCUGGUCUGUAACUGACGCUGAGGCUCGAAAGCGUGGGGAGCGAACAGGAUUAGAUACCCUGGUAGUCCACGCCGUAAACGAUGAGUGCUAAGUGUUGGAGGGUUUCCGCCCUUCAGUGCUGCAGCAAACGCAUUAAGCACUCCGCCUGGGGAGUACGACCGCAAGGUUGAAACUCAAAGGAAUUGACGGGGGCCCGCACAAGCGGUGGAGCAUGUGGUUUAAUUCGAAGCAACGCGAAGAACCUUACCAGGUCUUGACAUCCUUUGACCACUCUAGAGAUAGAGCUUCCCCUUCGGGGGCAAAGUGACAGGUGGUGCAUGGUUGUCGUCAGCUCGUGUCGUGAGAUGUUGGGUUAAGUC